AGCCCACAGAGGCAGGCAGGCCUCCUUGAGCUGUGGUGGGCUCCACCCAGUUCGAGCUUCCCGGCUGCUUUGUUUACCUAAGCAAGCCUGAGCAAUGGCGGGCGCCCCUCCCCCAGCCUCGCUGCCGCCUUGCAGUUUGAUCUCAGACUGCUGUGCUAGCAAUCAGCAAGACUCCGUGGGCGUAGGACCCUCCAAGCCAGGUGUGGGACAUAACCUUGUGGUGCGCCGUUUUUUAAGCCGGUCUGAAACGUGCAAUAUUCGGGUGGGAGUGACCCGAUUUUCCAGGUGCGUCCAUCACCCCUUUCUUUGACUCGGAAAGGGAACUCCCUGACCCCUUGCGCUUCCCAGGUGAGGCAAUGCCUCGCCCUGCUUCGGCUCGCGCACGGUGCUUGCACCCACUGGCCUGCGCCCACUGUCUGGCACUCCCUAGUGAGAUGAACCCGGUACCUCAGAUGGAAAUGCAGAAAUCACCCGUCUUCUGUGUCGCUCACGCUGGGAGCUGUAGACCGGAGCUGUUCCUAUUCGGCCAUCUUGGCUCCUCCCCGGCAUAGUCUUGAAGCUCCCUGCCUAGAGGCUGUCUUUUCCAGGAGCUAUACCUCUGCUUCACACAGGUAACUGAAAUUCUGAAGUGACAUAAGCACACCAGGGCAGGAAAUGAAGGGGAGGGCUGUGUAUCAGACUAUGGGUGGGGCAAAUCUCAGCCUUCUGGAUCAUCUGGAGGUACUCAUUGGGAGACAACUACAGCAGGUGGCAGAGGAUGCGCUAAGUCACUGGGUAAUAGGAUGUAAAGAGGAGUUCUCAAAACAACCUCACAGACCCAGAAUAAUCAAAACAAUUGAAGACUUAACUUCAAUUUCAAAACUUACCACAGAGCAAGAGUAAUCAAGACAGUAUGGUACUUCCCUAAGGACAAACAUAUAUGAAUGAAAGAGAAACCAGAUUUUGGAAAUUUUAAAGAGUGUCAAGACCAUUCAGCAAGGAAUGAAUAGUCUUUUCAACAAAUUGUGAGACAAUAGAUAUUCACAUGCAAAAAAUGUACCUGGACUCCUACCUCACGCCAUAUAAAAAUAUUAACUCAAAAUGGAUUAUAGGGAGGAAGUGGAGGAAGAUGACCAGAAAAAACCUUCCAGUGAUUAUCCCUAACUUGCCCUGCAGGAAGACCAAAUUGAACAACUAUCCACAAAGGAAAGCACCAUCAUAUGAGGCAAAAAUCAGGUAAGUAAUCACAGUACUGAGUUUUAAUAUUAUAGCAAGAAAAGAGGCACUGAAGAAGGGAGGAAAGACAGUCUUGAUUUGCUGACACCACCACUCCCCCAUCUACCGGCAGAGGCCAUGUGGCACAGAGAGAGAAUCUCUGUGCUUGGGGGAGAGAGAGCACAGUGAUUGUGGGAGAUUGUGUCAGAACUCAGUGCUGACUGUCACAGUGGAAAGCAACACGGGGCACCCACAAAGGGAGCAUUUAGACCAGCUUUAGCCAGAGGGAAAUUGUCCAUUCCAGCAGUCAGAACCUGAUUUCUAGAUAGACCAGCCACCACAGGUUAAGGCUCUCUGGGCUUACUAAAUAAACCUGAAAGACAGUCUAGGCCAUGAGGACUGUAAUUCCUAGGCAAGUCCUAGUCCUGUGUUGAGCUUGGAGCCUGUGGACUUGGGGUGCAUGACACCUAGUGAGACACCAGCUGGGAUGGCCAAGGGAGUGCUUGCAACACCUUUCCCCCAAUGCUAGGCAGCACAGCUUGCAACUCUGGGAGAGUCCCUUUCCUUCUGCUUGAGGAAAGGAGAGAAUAAAAAGGACUUUGUCUUGCAAUUUGGAAACCAGCUUAGACACAAUAGAAUAGGGCACCAGGCAGAUUCCUGAGGCCUCCAUUCCAGGACAAUUCCCAGGCAACAUUUCUAGUCAUACCAUGGACCAUAAGGUAAUCUGCUACCUUGAAGGGAAGGACCUCUUGUCCUAAGAGAACUCAUCACCUGCUGACUAAAGAGUGCUUGGGUCUUGGAUAAACACCAGUAGUAGCAAGGCAGUAUUUGUCAUGGGCCUUGGGUGAGGCCCAGAGCCAUGCAAGCAUCACAUGUGACCCAGGACAUUUCUGGCUGUGGUAACCACAGAGAGAGACUCUUUCCGCAGGAGGAAAGUAGGGGGAAGAGCAAAGGAGACUUUGUCUUGCAGCUUGGGUACCAUCUCAGCCACAGUGUGGAAGAGUACCAAGUUGGCUCUUGGGGUCCCUGAUUCCAGGCCUGGUCUCCUAGACAGCAUUUCUGAACCUACCCUGAGCCAGAGGGGAGCCAGAGGGGAGCCCUCUUCAGUGUCCUGAAGAGGGAGACCCAGAUCUGAAAACGUUUACCACUAGCUGAUGGACAAGCCCUUGGGCCUUCUGGGAACAUUGGUGGUAGUCAGGCAGUAUUCACCAUGGGCCUGGUGGGUGGAAGUGGGGGGAUGGUUACCUAUGGGAAGAGACUUCUUCUGCUUGAGGAAAGGGGAGGGAAAAGUGGGAAACACUUUGUCUUGUGGCUUGGGUGCCAGCUCAAUUGCAGUAGAAUAGAGCACAAAGCACAUCCUUAAGCUUCCCAACUCCAGGCACUGGCUCCCAGAUGGCAUUUUUGGACCCAUGUGGACUGAGUGGGGGUUGAAAUUACCACCCUGAAGGGAAGAGGGUAAGCCUGGCUAGAUUCUCCCCAUUCUGACUAAAGAGCCCUUGGGCUUUAAGUAAACAUCAAGGAUAAGAAAAAAGUGGUCACCAUGUACAUUGGGUGAGACCCAGUGCUGUGCUGGCUUCAGGUCUGAUCCAGCACAGUCCUAGUGGUGAUAGCCACAGAGGUACUUGUGUCACCUCUGUCCCAGCUCUGGACAACCAGCAGGAGUGUUAGAUUUCAUUUGCUGGGGAAAGUAAGGAAAGAGAAUCAGAGUGUCUGCCUGAUAAUCGAGGGAAUUCUCUCAGAUCUUACCUAAGACCUCCAAGGUAGUACCUCUAAGAGUCUACAAGACUCAUGGUGUUACUGGGCUUGGGAUGUCCCCUAAUGCAAAUAUACCUUCGGUGAGCACUUAGAUCACAACACCCAAUACCCUUUGAAUACUUGGAAAGCAUUCCCAAGAAAGAUGGAAACAAAGAAGCCCAGACUCUGAAGACUACAAUAAAUACAUAAUUCUUCAAUGCCCAGACAUUGAUUGAUAUCUACAAGCAUCAAGACCAUCCAGGUAAACAUGAUCUCAACAAAUGAACUAAAUACAGCACAAGUGGUCAACCCCAGAGUGACAGAGAUAUGUGACCUUUCAGACAAAGAAUUCAAAAAAGCUAUUUUGAAGAAGCUCAACAAAAUUCAAACUAACACAGAGAAGGGAUUCAGAAUCCUAUCAGAUUAUUUCAACAGAGGGAUUGAAAUAAUUAGAAAUAUUAAAAAGAAAUUAUGGAGCUGAAAAAUUCAAUUGAGAUGCUGAAAGAUGCAUCAGAGUCUCUCAAUAGCAGAAUUGAUCAAGUACAAUUGAUCAAGUAGAAUAAAGAAUUAGUGAGUUUGAAAAAAGGCUAUUUGAAAAUACACAAUCAGAGAAAAUAAAAGAAAAAAGUAUGAAAAAGAAUAAGCAUGACUAUAAGAUCUAGAAAAUAGCCUCAAAAGAACAAAUCUAAAAGUUAUUGGCCUUAAAGAGAAUGUAGAUAGAGACAGUGGGGCAGCAAGUAUAUUCAAAGUCGUAACAGAGAGCUUUCCAAAUCUAGAGAAUAAUGCCAAUAUUCAAGUUAAAGAAGGUUGUAAAACACCAAGCAGAUUUAGCCCAAAUAAGUCUACCUCCAGACAAUUAAUAAUUAAACUCUCAAAGAUGAAAGACAAAGAAAGGAUUAUAAAAGUGGUAAGAGGAAAGAAAAAACAUGCAAAGAAGGUCCAAUAUGUCUGUCAGCCAAUUUUUCACUGGAAACCGUACAGGCUAGGAGUAAGUGGUGUGAUAUAUUUAAAGUGCUGAAGGAAAAAACUCUUAUCCUUGAAUAGCAUAUCCACUGAAAAUAUCCUCCAAACAUUUUUCCCAAGCAAACAAAGCUGAGAAAUUUCAUCAAUACUAGACCUGUCCUACAAGAAAUGCUACAGGGAGUUCUUCAAUCUAAAAGAUGAGAAUGUUAAUGAGCAAUAAGAAAUCAUCUGAAGGUACAAAAUUCUCUGGUAAUAGUAAGUACACAGACAAACACAGAAUAUUAUAACAAUGUACUUGUGGUGUAUAAACUACUCAUACCUGGAGUAGAAAGACUAAAAUAUGAAUCUAUCAAAAAUAAUAACUACAUAAUUUUUAAGACACAGGCAGGAUACUGAGAUAGAAAUAGCAAAAAGUUAAAAAGCGGGAGAGGGAUGAAGUUAAAGUGCAGAUUUUUAAAAAUUCGUUUUUCCUUGCCUGUUUGUUUUUGCAAUCAGUGUUAAGCUGCCAUUGGUAUAAAAUAAUGGGUUGUUAUUUGCAAGCCUCAUGGUAACCUCAAAUAAAAAAACCUACAAUAGAAACACAAAAAAUAAAAAGAUAUUAAAACAUACACCAGAGAAAAUUACCUUCAAAAAAGAAGACAGGAAGGAAAGACGGGAGGAAGAGAAGGCCACACAACAUUCAUAAAACAAAUAACAAUAUGGCAAGAGUUAGUCUUUACUUAUCAAUAACUUUGAAUGUAACUAAACUAAACUCUCCAAUAAAAAGCCAUAGUGUAACUGAAUGGAUAAAAAAAACAACAACACACAAUCUGUUGGCUACAGGAAACACACUUCACUUAUGAAGACACACAUAGAUAGAAAAUAAAGGGAUGGAAAAGAUAUCCCAUGCAAAUGGAAGCCAAAAAAAGAAGAAAUAGUUAUACCAGAUAAAAUAGAUUUCAAGAUAAUAGCUAUAAAAAGAGAAAAAGAAGGUCAUGAUAUAAUGAUAAAGGGGUCAAUUCAACAAGUGGAUGAAAUGUAGAUAUAUAUGCACCCAUCACUGAAAAACCUAGAUAUAUAAGGCAAAUAUUAUUGGAGGUAAAGAGAGAGAUAGACCCUAAUACAAUAAUAACUGGAGACUUCACCACUGUUCUUUCAGCAUUGAACAGAUCUCCCAGACAGAAAAUCAACAAAGAAACAUUGGAUUUAAUCUACACUCUAGACCAAAUGGGCUUAAUAGAUAUUUGCAGAACAUUUUAGCCAAUGGUUGCAGAAUACAUGUUCUUCUUCUCAGCAUAUGCAUUAUUAUUAAGGAUAGAUCAUAUAUUAAGUCACAAAACAAAUCUGAAAAACUUUAAAAAAAAUCAAAUUAUAUCAAAUAUUUUCUCCAACCACAGUGGAAAAAAACUAGGAUUCAAUAACAAGAGGAACUUUGGAAACUAUACAAACACACGGAAAUUAAACAAUGUACACCUGAGUAGCCAGUGGGUUAAUAAAAAAAUUACGAAGGAAAUUUAAAAAUUUAUUGAAACAAAAGGAAAUGGAAACAUAAUAUACAAAAUCUGUGGAACAGAGUAAAAGCAAUAGUAAAAGUGUAUAGCUACAAAAGCCUACAUCAAAACAUUAAAAAACUUAAACAAUCUAACAAUGCAUCUUAAAGAAUUAGAAAAGCAAGAGGAAAGCAAACCCACAAUUAGAAGAAAAUAAAUAAUGAAAAUUGCAACAGAAAUAAAUGACAAAAAAUAAAAAACCCAAAAGAUCAACAAAAUGGAAAAGUCGUUUUUUUGAAAACACAAACAAAAUCAACAAAUUUCUAACCAGCUACUAAGAUUACAACAUGAAGAAAUCUAAAACCUGAAGAGAUCUAUAGAAAGUAAUGAGAAGAAAGCUGCACUAUAAAGUCUCCUAGCAAAGAAAAGUCUAGAAUCCAAUGGCUUCACUUUAGAAUUUUACCAAACACUUAAAGAAAAACUACCAACCAUACUCAAGUUAAUCUAAAAAAUAGAAAAGGGGAGACUAUUUCCAAACUCAUUCUACAAUGCCAGUAUUACUCUGAUAUCAAAACCAAAGGCACAACAAAAAAAGAAAACUACUAGCCAAUAUAUCUGAUAAACACUGAUGGAAAAAAACUCAACAAAAUGUUAGAAAAUUGAGUUCAACAACACACAUUAAAAAUAUUAUUCAUCAAGACCAAGUGGGAUUUUUCCCAGGGAUGCAAGAAUGGUUCAACAAACACAAAUCAAUCAACAUGAUACAUCGUAUCAACAGAACGAGGCCUAAAACUAUGUGACCAUUAAAAUAGAUGCUGAAAAAGCAUCUAAUAAAAUUCAACACCCCUUCAUGAUAAAAACCCUCAAAAAACUGUGCAUACAAGAAACUUACCUUAACACAAUAAAAGCCAUAUAUGACAGACUCACAGCUAAUGUCAUACUGAAUGGGAAAAAAAUGAAAGACUUUCCUCUACAAUCUAGAACAAGACAAGGAUGCCCACUUUCACCCUGUUGUUUAACACAAUACUGAAAGUACUAUUGCUAGCUGGAGCAAUCAGACAAGAGAAAAAAAUAAAGGAUAUUCAAAUUGGAAAAGAAGAAGUCAAAUUAUCCUGGUUUGCAGAUGGUAUAAUCUUAUAUUUGAAAGAAACAUAGAGAAUCCACAAAAAUUGAUAGAAUUGAUAAACAAAUUCAGUAAAAUUUCAGGAAAAAAUAUCAACAUACAAAAAUCAGUAGCAUUUCUGCAUACCAACAGUGAACACUCUGAAAAAGAGAUCAAGAAAGUAAUCCUAUUUACAAUAGCUACAAAUAAAAUAAAAUACUUACAAAUCAAACAAAAAGUGAAAGAUCUCUAGGAUGAAAACUAUAAAAUAUUUAUGUAAUAAAUUGAAGAUAACACAAAAAAAGUUGAAAGAUACUCUUUGUUCAUGGACUGAAAAAAAUUAGUAUUGUUAAAAUUUUCAUACUACCCAAAGCAAGCUACAGGUUCAAUACAAUCUCUAUCAAAAUACUAAGGACAUUCAUCACAGAAAUAAAAAAUAAAUGAUCCUAGAAUUUACAUGGAACCACAAAAGACCCAGAAAUAACAAAGCCAUCCUGUGCAAAAUGAACAAAACUGAAGGAAUCACAUUCCUGACUUUGAAUUACACUAUAGAACUAUAGUAACCAAAAUCACAUGGUAUUGGCAUAGAUCAAUGAAAUAGAAUUGGAGAUCCCAGAAAUAAAUCCAUACAGAAAAGUGAAACUACACCUCUAUCUUUCACCAUGUACAAAAAUCAAAUAAAAAUGGAUUAAAGACUUAAGUCUAAGACAUGAAACUAUGAAACUACUAAAAGAAAAUAAGUUUUGCUUUUCUGCCACAGAGUCUCAGCCAGCAUCAUUAUCUGGAGGCUUAUGACAUGCGUAAUUCAUAGACAUGAAUUCCAACUGAUAUGGUUUGUCUGUGUCCUCGCCCAAAUCUCAUCUUGAAUUAUAGUUCCCAUAAUCCCCAUGCGUCAUGGGAGGGACCUGGUGUGAGGUAAUGGAAUCAUGGGUCCAGUUACACCAUGCUGAUCUCAUGAUAGUGAAUAAGUUCUCAUGACAUCUAAUGGUUGUAUAAGGGGCUUUUCCCACUUUGCUCGGUACAUCUCUCUCCUGCUGCCAUGUGAAGAAGGACAUGUUUGCUUUCCCUUCUUUGAUGAUUUUAAGUUUCCUGAGCUCUCCCCAACCAUCCAGAACUGUGAGUCAAUUAAACCUCUUUCUUUUAUAAAUUACCCAGACUCAGAUGUGUCUUUAUUAGCAGCAUGAGAAUGAACAAAUAGAAUAAAUUGGUACUGAGGAAGUGGGGCACAGCUAUAAGGAUACCUGAAAAUGUGGAAGUGACUUUGGAACUAAGUAACCAGCAGAGGCUGGAACAGUUUGGAGGGCUCAGAAGAAGAUAGGAAAAUGUGGGAAAGUUGGGAACUUCCUAGAGACUUGGUGAAUGGCUAUAACCAAAAUGCUAACAGUGACAUGGACAAUGAAGUCCAGGCUGACAUGGUCUCAGAGGGACACGAAGAACUUGUUGAAAACUGGAGUAAAGGUGACUCUUGCUAUGCUUUAGCAAAGAGACUGUUGGCAUUUUGUCCUGCCCUAGAAAUCUGUGGAACUUUGAACUUGAGAGAGAUAAUUUAGAAUGUCUGGCAGAAGAAAUUUAUAAGCAGCAAAGCAUUUAAGAGGAAGCAGAGCAUAAAAGUUUGGAAGAUUUGCAGCUUGAUGAUGUGAUAGAAAAGAAAAACCCAUUUUCUGGGGAGAAAUUCAAGCCAGCUGCAUAAAUUUGCAUAAGUAAUGAGGAUCCCAAUGUUAAUUGCCAAGACAACGGGGAAAAUGCUUCUAGGCAUGUCAGAGACCUUCAUGACAGCCCCUCCCACCACAGACUCGGAGACCUAGGAGGGAAAAAUUGUUUCUUGGGCUGUGUCCAGAGUCCCCCUGAUCUGUGCAGCCUCAGGACAUGGUGCCCUGUGUCCCAACUGCUCCAGCCAUGGCUAAAAUGGGCCAAGGUACAGCUCAGGCCAUUGCCUCAGAGGGUGCAAGCCCCAAGCCUUGGCAUCUUCCAUGUGGUGUUAGGCCUGUUGGUACACAGAAGACAAGAAUUGAGGUUAGGGAACCUCCACCUAGAUUUCAGAGGAUGUAUGGGAAUGCCUGAAUGUCCAGGCAAAAGUCUGUUGCAGGGGCAGAGCCCUCAGGGUAAACCUCUGCUAGGGCAGUGUGGAAGGGAAAUGUGGGGUUGGAGCCCUCAGAGUCCCCACUGGGGCACUGCUUACUGGAGUUGUGAGAAAGGGCCACCAUUCUCCAGACCCCAGAAUUAUAGACCGACUGACAGCUUGCACUGUGAGUUUGGAAAAGCCAUGGACACUCAACACCAAACAUAAAAGCAGCCAGGAUGGGGACUGCACCUUGCAAAGCCACAGGUGUGGAGCUUCCCAAGGCUGUGGGAGCCCACUACUUGCAUCAGUGUGACCUGGAUGCGAGACAUGGAGACAAAGGAGAUUUUGGAACCGUAAGUUUUAAUGACUGCCUUAUUGGAUUUUGGACUUGUAUGGGACCUGUAGCCCAUCAGUUUGGGCCAAUUUCUCCCAUUUGGAAUGAGUGUAUUUACCCAAUGCCUGUAUCCCCAUUGUAUCUAGGAAGUAACUAACUUGCUUUCAAUUUUACAGGUGCAUAGGUGGAACGGACUUGCCUUUGUCACAGAUGAGACUUUGGACUGGGACUUUUGGGUUAAUGCUAGAAUGAGCUAAGACUUUGGGGAACUGUUGGAAAGACAUGAUUGUGUUUUGAAAUGUGAGGACAUGAAAUUUGGGAGGGGCCAGGGGCAGAAUGAUACUGUUUGGCUGUGUCCCCACCAAAAUUUUGUCUUGAAUUCUAGUUGCCAUAAUCUCCACAUGUUGUGGGAGGGACCUGAUGGGAGGUAAUUGAAUCACGGGGGUGGGGAGUUAUCCCCAUGCUAUUUUGAGUGAGUUCUCACAAGAUCUGAUGGCUUUAUAAGGGGCUUUCCCCCCUUUUCCCAGCACUACUCUCUCCUGCCUCCAUGUGAAGAAGGAAGUGUUUGCUUCUCCUUCCACCACGAUUGUACAUUUCCUGAGUCCUCCCCAGCCAUGUGGAACUGUGAGUCAAUUGAACCUCUUUAUAAAUUAAUCAGUCUCAGUUAUUUCUUCAUAGCAUCACAAGCAUAGUGUCUGAAAGGACAACCAGUUUGCAGCACAAGAGGUACAAAAAUGAGCCUAAAACUGAAUACUUAUUUCAAAUAUUCAAAACGACUAUUUCCAGUAGAAAUUUCUCUCUUUAUCUUUCAGAUAUGUCCUGAGAGUUUCUGAAGUUAUUUAACUGGUUCAAUGAGAAUUUAAUCAAGGUCUGCUUUAUAUCAAAAUUUAUGAUUUUUAUUCAAUGCCAUACAUAGAAUUUGUUCACAGUUAUCAUCAAACACACUCAUGUAAGUAAAUUCUAUUAGAAAAACAUGUUCUUCGGUGGUCAGAAUAUUCUGGGACUUUAGGUUAAAAUGUAUAAAUGUCAAAGUUGCAACUCAGGUUGCUAUUUUUUAUUUUUAACAGGCAUAUGCAUAGUCCUACUUCUUUUCAUUGAGUCAUUUUUGUUGGUUUAACUUUUAAAUAGUAUAUACAUUUUUCCUCUGGAACAGUUCUUGGCUAGUUUGACAGCCUUGGCAGUGUUUUCUGGGUGAGAAGUAGUUUAUAGCACUGCCUUUUAAUAGUGAGAACCAAAUGAACAGCAUAUCUAGGCAGUGAAUAAUCUUAGCACAUAGCACUCAAAUGACACGCAGUCUGAGGAAAAUGUGUAGGAGAAACUAAGUCUUACAGGGCUCCACAGCUCAGAGAUAAAAACAUAGAACAUUUGAGAUUGUACAAAACUUUCUAGUGUAUGGUGAUUAUUGAGUGUUUGUGAAUGGUUAUGUAGCAGAUGUGUAAAUAAAUGUAUCUUGUUGAGUAGAAGAUGUCACAGAAGAGAAUUCAUGAAAAUGAAAGCCACAGGCAUUGCAAAAAAUGAAAUGAUUUAACUCUUAUAUUUGUCUAUGGAUAGUAUUAUCAUAAUUAUACACAAUUAGAUCUGAUGUUCUGAAAUACUCUUCAAGAACAAUUUAAAACAUCACACUAGAUGUCCAGAGGUUAUCAACUAGAAGCCUGUUGACAGGUUAUUAGAAACACAUUGUUUGACAAUUUCUAUUUGAUUGGCUAUAGUCAGGAUACAUAUUCUCCCACCUGCUGUAGUUCUCACCAAUUGCUAUUGUAUUAAAUAAAACAUGUUUUAUUCAUUUAUUAAUAUCUUCUGCCUGGUCUGUGAAUACAGCUGAGUAUGUUUGGUUCAGUAACCUUGGCAUUUCAAUGUAAUGCCAUUUUAUUUGAUUUUUUAAUUCGUUUUUCCUCUAUAGAAACAAAUGUAUGUAAUUAGACUGACACAUAAUAUGAGCAGAGCUCCUUUGUCUCUUAAUUAGUAGUCUUUUCAGUUAAUAUAUCUUUGAAC
rnacentral:lncRNA from 10 species